rnacentral:rRNA from 1 species
GAUGAACGCUGGCGGCGUGCCUAAUACAUGCAAGUCGAGCGAACAGACGAGGAGCUUGCUCCUCUGACGUUAGCGGCGGACGGGUGAGUAACACGUGGAUAACCUACCUAUAAGACUGGGAUAACUUCGGGAAACCGGAGCUAAUACCGGAUAAUAUAUUGAACCGCAUGGUUCAAUAGUGAAAGACGGUUUUGCUGUCACUUAUAGAUGGAUCCGCGCCGCAUUAGCUAGUUGGUAAGGUAACGGCUUACCAAGGCGACGAUGCGUAGCCGACCCGAGAGGGUGAUCGGCCACACUGGAACUGAGACACGGUCCAGACUCCUACGGGAGGCAGCAGUAGGGAAUCUUCCGCAAUGGGCGAAAGCCUGACGGAGCAACGCCGCGUGAGUGAUGAAGGUCUUCGGAUCGUAAAACUCUGUUAUUAGGGAAGAACAAAUGUGUAAGUAACUAUGCACGUCUGGACGGUACCUAAUCAGAAAGCCACGGCUAACUACGU